GCACAAGCGGUGGAGCAUGUGGUUUAAUUCGACGCAACGCGAAGAACCUUACCAGGGCUUGACAUCCCCUGACCGCGUAUGAAAGUACGUUUUCACCUCGGGUGACAGGGAGACAGGUGGUGCAUGGUUGUCGUCAGCUCGUGUCGUGAGAUGUUGGGUUAAGUCCCGCAACGAGCGCAACCCCUACGUUUAGUUGCUAACGCGUGAAGGCGAGCACUCUAGACGAACUGCCGUUGACAAAACGGAGGAAGUGGGGAUGACGUCAAAUCAUCAUGCCCCUUAUGUUCUGGGCUACACACGUGCUACAAUGGCCGGUACAGACGGACGCAAAGCCGCGAGGUGGAGCAAAUCCUAAAAAGCCGGUCUCAGUUCGGAUUGCAGGCUGCAAUUCGCCUGCAUGAAGUCGGAAUCGCUAGUAAUCGCAGGUCAGCAUACUGCGGUGAAUACGUUCCCGGGCCUU
rnacentral:rRNA from 1 species